rnacentral:rRNA from 1 species
GACAGAGGGGGCAAGCGUUGCUCGGAAUUACUGGGCGUAAAGGGCGCGUAGGCGGGAUGGCAAGUCGGUCGUGAAAUCCCUCGGCUCAACUGAGGAGCGUCGAUCGAAACUGCCGUUUCUUGAGGGUUGCAGAGGAGACUGGAAUUCCCAGUGUAGCGGUGAAAUGUGUAGAGAUCGGGAGGAACACCGGUGGCGAAGGCGGCCCCCUGGUUGGAUACUGACGCCUGAGACGCGAAAGCGUGGGGAGCAAACAGG